AACGAACGCUGGCGGCGCGCUUAACACAUGCAAGUCGAACGAGAAGCUGUAGCAAUACAGUUGUACAGUGGCGAACGGGUGAGGAAUACAUGGGUAACCUACCCUCGAGUGGGGAAUAACCAGCCGAAAGGCUGGCUAAUACCGCGUACGCUUCCCAAUCUGCGGGUUGGGAAGGAAAGCUCUACCGUGGGUAGAGCGCUCAAGGACGGGCUCAUGUCCUAUCAGCUUGNGGUAGGGUAACGGCCUACCAAGGCAACGACGGGUAGCUGGUCUGAGGAGGACGAUCAGCCACACUGGCACUGCGAC
rnacentral:rRNA from 1 species